UAUUGCACAAUGGGGGAAACCCUGAUGCAGCGACGCCGCGUGAGUGAAGAAGCAUUUCGGUAUGUAAAGCUCUAUCAGCAGGGACGAAAAUGACGGUACCUGAUUAAGAAGCCCCGGCUAACUAUGUGCCAGCACCCGCGGUAAUACGCAGGGGGCAAGCGUUAUCCGGAUUUACUGGGUGUAAAGGGAGCGUAGACGGUUAUGCAAGUCUGGAGUGAAAGGCGGGGGCUCAACCCCCGGACUGCUCUGGAAACUGUAGAACUAGAGUGCAGGAGGGGUAAGUGGAAUUCCUAGUGUAGCGGUGAAAUGCGUAGAUAUUAGGAGGAACACCAGUGGCGAAGGCGGCUUACUGGACUGUAACUGACGUUGAGGCUCGAAAGCGUGGGGAGCAAACAGG
rnacentral:rRNA from 1 species